ACAGCGCCAACUGUUGACCAGGUUCUUGUACGUUCCUCGAAAGGUAAACAAAGUACAAAUAAGAUUCAUUUCUACGCCACGAGGACGCCCUAAAGUUGUUGCCUUGUCAUCUUCCACCAAUUCAACAUGUCUACUGAGAAACCCGCCGAUAAUAAGCCUAAAAUUGACUUAGGUUUGCUGGAAGAGGACGACGAGUUUGAGGAAUUCCCCGCAGAAGAUUGGACUGCAGCAGAAGAAGACGCAGAAGAUGUCAAUGUCUGGGAAGACAACUGGGAUGAUGACAAUAUUGAGGAUGACUUUUCACAGCAGUUGAGAGCUGAGCUGAACACACAACCAAUGCAAUAGAUCAUUCAUACACAUUGUUGAAGUAUAGAAUUUUUAUAAAUAAAAUUUACUUGGUUUU